rnacentral:rRNA from 1 species
AACGAACGCUGGCGGCAGGCUUAACACAUGCAAGUCGAACGCCCCGCAAGGGGAGUGGCAGACGGGUGAGUAACGCGUGGGAAUCUACCCAGAUCUUCGGAACAACUGAGGGAAACUUCAGCUAAUACCGGAUACGCCCUACGGGGGAAAGAUUUAUCGGUUCUGGAUGAGCCCGCGUUGGAUUAGCUAGUUGGUGAGGUAAAGGCUCACCAAGGCGACGAUCCAUAGCUGGUCUGAGAGGAUGAUCAGCCACACUGGGACUGAGACACGGCCCAGACUCCUACGGGAGGCAGCAGUGGGGAAUAUUGGACAAUGGGCGAAAGCCUGAUCCAGCCAUGCCGCGUGAGUGAUGAAGGCCUUAGGGUUGUAAAGCUCUUUCAGUAGGGAAGAUAAUGACGGUACCUACAGAAGAAGCCCCGGCUAACUUCGUGCCAGCCGCCGCUGUAACAC